ACACGUCGAGCGGGACGGCGUGCGAGUCCAGUAGUCAAAAGAGUCAGGAAUGCCGGGAGGCAGUCGGGAUGCCAUUCCCAAUAGGUGUCCUGUUGGAAAAAAAAAAGCAGGGUUCCAAGGAGGAUUUACAGAGAAGAGACGGAGAAGGAGCAGAUGAGAGACACUAACAGAGUUGAGCGUUACAGGAAAGAACUUUACAACCCUCUCAUUCAUCCCAACUACUUCCAGAGAACUCUACAGAAAGUGACUUCUUGGGGCAGGCAGAGACGUGCCAUGUCCAAGGUGUCCAUCUGCAGGUGUGCAGGGACUCCUGUACCACAGGACUUCUCAG